CUGGCAAGCUCCCCAUCCCACAAGUAGCCACAGAGCCUAGAGUACUGGCUUCAAAAUAAUUUUUUUUUCUUAGCUGAUUUUAACGGGCAUCUAUGUGCAAGGGAGUGUUCUAAGAAGACGUUAGUCCAGAACAUAGGAGGUAUCUGUUUCCAUAAGAGCUGACAGCAAACCCAAUCCAAGUCUCUAAAUCCCAAUCGCUAGCCGACGCGCCGGAAUCAAAGCGUUGACGCUUGAAUUUCCUGGCGGAGGCGCCAGUGCGUUGCGAUGGAUCGAUUGCUUUUGCCUGGCGGAAGUCUAUCAGGCGAGGACCGCGAACGCGGGGACUGCGGGCAGGCGAGAAGUGUGUGACGUCUUCGUCGCCAGGGAGCUUGGGCAGCUGAGAUUCGGGAGGCCACGCUGGUCCUGUUGGGGCGACCAACUGAGUCGGAGAGUUCUGUCCUGUUCGCACACGCGCUGAUGCGAGUCCCCUUGUCGGUGAUGGAGUUGGAGAGUCAGCAUCACAGAGGAAGAUGCGGUGACAACAGCUGGCGCCGUCGCCAUCUUGAGAAGGAGCAAACCUUCCAAGAGCGGUUUCCUGUACAUCGAGCCGUGCGAAGGGAGAAUAAUCGAGAGAUCAAGUCCAGAAGUUUUGUGAUGAUUUUUCAGGGAAGAGACUGGCCAGGGUGCCCGGGGCCUCUCCCGUCUGUCUCCCUGCCGCUCCGGGCUCUGCGGAGUUUAGCAGAUUGAUCGCUGCCCGCCACCCCAGACCCCGUUGUUUUUAGCUCCGUGGACUCCGCGACUGUAGGCAAACCACCAGGCACUAGACGCCGCGCCGGGCAGGUGGGCGCCGGGGCACCAGCCCUGCGCGGGGAAGCCUGGCCUGGGAGCUCAGGGCGCAGUACGGAGAGGCGACGAAAUCAAGCUGAGGGGCCCGGGGACCCCAGACCGCCUGGCUCCGGGGGGCCCGGCCCCCCUCUCCCGGUAUCUCCAGCCCGCGCCCGGCCGGCCACACCUUGGAAGUGGCUAUCCUUCGAGAGCCUUCCCCUGAGGAGUCCGGCCACCAGCACGGCCCCACCCCGCCCUCUGCAGCCUUGCCCGGCCCGCGUCUUCCCACACGGCUGUCUCCGUCCGGAGUGCGAUGGCACCGCGGGCUUGCUUGGUGACGGGGGCGCGGGCCAGCCUCCAGCCAGAGCAGCCGCGCGCCGGUGAAGGAACAGACGAGUCCCCGCCCUCACCGCCCUGCCACGUGCUGCUGCGGCAGCUGGACCGCCUUGGCCUUGGGUCACCCGGCCGGCCCCGGGGUCACUGCCCAGCAGCACGCGCACCCCGCUCACGUCGCGCGCUGCCGCUUUUACUCCGUCUGGUGCUGGCCUCGGAAUGGCCUUAGCGCCUCAGCCUUUGUCUGGGUGUCUUCACUCUGCUCUGCUAAUUAAAAAAAAAAAAAAAAAAUUGGGGGGGGCAUUUUUAUUGAGGUGGAAUCGACAAAUACAAAUUGUAUCUAUUUAUAUUGUGCAAUGAGAUCUUUUAAGGUGUACAUGUGAUGACUCAAUAUAUGUAUGUUUUUCAGAGAACACGGAAGAUCUGUCAGCAAAUUUCAAGCAUACAAUUCAGUAUAAUGUACUGUAGUCACUAUGUGGGACAUUAGAUCCCCAGAACUUAUUCUUCUUUUAACUGAGUUUGUACCCUUUGACCGACAUGUCCCUGUACCUCCCAGCUCCCAUUCGACUCCCUGGGUCUGGGAGGGCCACUGUUGUAGAUUACAAAUGAGUGAGAUCGUACAGUAUUUGCCGUUGUGUCUGGCUUAUUUCACUUAGUGUAAUGCCCUCCAGGUUCAUCUGCGUUGUGGCAAAUGGAAGGAUUUCCUUCCCUUUCGCUCUUUAUCAUAACAGAAACAUGUUCUUUCCCAUCUGGACCUAGCCUCUGAACCUCAGUGACCAUAACUAGUGUCCAAAGGCAGUGACGUGGAAAAGCCCACAAUGGCAACCCCGUGGCUGCAGGAGCUCUUGUGAGGCCCCGUUCAUCCCUGACAUUUAGUUUGGCUAAUGGGACAACUCUUCCUCCCCUAACAAAACAGAACAGGUAGUCCUAAAUUAAACCCUCUUGCCAACUGUGGACUUUGGCUACUAUCUCAUGACCCUGAAGUUACAAACAUAAUGGGAAAAGUCAAACAUGCCAAGGACAGUUGGACAGAAAUUGCAGAAAGUUCCCGCAUUCUUAAUGAUGUUGCUGAGUGGUUAAAUUACCCUGAGAUUACUUUCUUUUGGGCUUCUUAUGGCUUACACUGCUGUUGGGUGGGUACUCUAUUACUUACGAGGGAAAAAGUCCUAACAGGGUGUGGGAUUGAUCAAGGGUUUCUUUGAGGAUGGAAGAUACUUACACAUAUAAAUCCCUUUGUUUUUUCUUUUGUUCUGUUAUUAUUAUUAUAUCGUUACUUACAAACAGAUAAUUCUUUAUCAGAUUACCAGUGUACAUUUGGGUUUGCCUAUAAUUUCUGUUCAUAUCAGUUCUACUAAAAUCAGAAAGAAGAAAAAAAUGCCUAUUAUUUCUUCUGUUAUUCCACAUUGUUUUCUAAGUUUUAGCCAAUACAAUAACGAAAUAAAAUGCUAGAAUGUCAUAACA
ensembl:lncRNA